UACGUAGGGUGCAAGCGUUGUCCGGAUUUAUUGGGCGUAAAGAGCUCGUAGGCGGUUUGUCGCGUCGGAUGUGAAAACCCAGGGCUCAACCCUGGGCCUGCAUUCGAUACGGGCAGACUAGAGUAUGGCAGGGGAGACUGGAAUUCCUGGUGUAGCUGUGAAAUGCGCAGAUAUCAGGAGGAACACCGGUGGCGAAGGCGGGUCUCUGGGCCAAAACUGACGCUGAGGAGCGAAAGCGUGGGGAGCGAACAGG
rnacentral:rRNA from 1 species